rnacentral:rRNA from 1 species
AACGAACGCUGGCGGCGCGUAUUAAGCAUGCAAGUCGAACGGGAACCUGCCCGCAAGGGGAGGGGAGAGUGGCGAACGGGUGAGUAACACGUAGGUGAUCUAUCCCCGGGUGGGGUAUAGCCCAUGGAAACAUGGGGUAAUACCGCAUGAGGUCCUGGAGCUUGAAGGCUUCUGGAUGAAAGGCGCAAUUGUGUUGCCUGGGGAUGAGCCUGCGGCUCAUUAGCUUGUUGGUGAGGUAAUGGCUCACCAAGGCGACGACGGGUAGCCGGCCUGAGAGGGCGACCGGCCACACUGGGACUGAGACACGGCCCAGACUCCUACGGGAGGCAGCAGUGGGGAAUAUUGCACAAUGGGCGAAAGCCUGAUGCAGCGACGCCGCGUGAGGGAUGACGGCCUUCGGGUUGUAAACCUCUUUCAGCAGGGAAGAAGCGCAAGUGACGGUACCUGCAGAAGAAGCACCGGCUAACUACGUGCCAGCAGCCGCCGUAAAAC